AUUUUGCUUUUACCACAUGCUCAUUAUCUUUAAUAGCAAGUGGAUUAAGAGGUUGGAGUUAAGGGGGACAUGCAUUAAUUAGCAUUUAUUAUAAAGUGAAAAUGUUGGGAUAACACUUUGAUUCAAGUGGGAUUAAAUUCUUGAGCAAGUCAUUAUCCUAACUCUACAAAAAACUCACGCACACCCUCCCUUCUCCUCCCCAUUCUCGGCCUCCCCUCUCUCUCUCUAUACUCUCUUUUCCUCCAUUGAUGUCCAUUGAAGAAAGCUUAGAGAAGCUUCAUCAAACACUACUAUGAGAUAAUCCACCAUCCAAUCCAAUCAAACACUAUCAUAUCUCAUCAAAUUCAAGAAGCUAGAGCUAAGAUCAAAGUUGGAGCAAAGUCUUGAUCACCUUUUAAAUCCUUGAACACGAGCAGAACAAGGAAGUAAGUAACUCCACUUUGACGAGAGAUUUUGAGUAAGGUCUUCAGGAUAAGCGGAGGGGGAGUAUGGUGCGGUGCUGGUGGGGAAUGUUUCGGGUUGACGUUUUCUUUCUCUAUCGUAUGUCUGUUUUGUCGAUAGAGUUUCGAUAUGAAGUUAUGUUGUAUUAAAUCAAGCACUUUAC